GCUCGCACGCAGGGGUACUCGCUAUUUUCAGCGGGUUGAGAAAGGCCCUUCGUACCAGUACGGAUAAUGCCGAUGCUGGGAGCGCGCUCGUUAAUAUC
rnacentral:ncRNA from 1 species